UACAGAGGUGGCAAGCGUUGUUCGGAAUUACUGGGCGUAAAGGGCGCGUAGGCGGUUCGUUAAGUCCUGUGUGAAAUCCCCCGGCUCAACUGGGGAACUGCACAGGAGACUAGCGGGCUUGAGUUCGGGAGAGGGAAGCGGAAUUCCGGGUGUAGCGGUGGAAAUGCGUAGAUAUCCGGAGGAACACCGGUGGCGAAGGCGGCUUCCUGGACCGGACCACUGACGCUGAGGCGCGAAAGCUAGGGGAGCAAACGGG
rnacentral:rRNA from 1 species